UACGUAGGGACCAAGCGUUGUUCGGAUUUACUGGGCGUAAAGGGCGCGUAGGCGGCUUGACAAGUCACUUGUGGAAAUCUCCGGGCUUAACUCGGAACGGCCAAGUGAAACUGUCAUGCUAGAGUGCAGAAGGGGCAAUCGGAAUUCUUGGUGUAGCGGUGAAAUGCGUAGAUAUCAAGAGGAACACCUGAGGUGAAGACGGGUUGCUGGGCUGACACUGACGCUGAGGCGCGAAAGCCAGGGGAGCAAACGGG
rnacentral:rRNA from 1 species